rnacentral:rRNA from 1 species
CGGAGGGCGUAGCGUUGUUCGGAAUUACUGGGCGUAAAGCGCACGUAGGCGGACCGGAAAGUUGGGUGGAAAUCCCGGGGCGUCAACCUCGGAACUGCCUUCAAAACUACUGGUCUUGAGUUCGAGAGAGGUGAGUGGAAUUCCGAGUGUAGAGGUGAAAUUCGUAGAUAUUCGGAGGAACACCAGUGGCGAAGGCGGCUCACUGGCUCGAUACUGACGCUGAGGUGCGAAAGCGUGGGGAGCAAACAGGAUU